rnacentral:rRNA from 1 species
GUGAGGAAUAUUGGUCAAUGGGCAAAAGCCUGAACCAGCCAAGUCGCGUGAGGGAAGACGGUCCUAUGGAUUGUAAACCUCUUUUGUCGGGGAGCAACGGCGCCACGUGUGGCGGAAGAGAGAGUACCCGAAGAAAAAGCAUCGGCUAACUCCGUUCCAGCAGCCGCGGUAAUACGGAGGAUGCGAGCGUUAUCCGGAUUUAUUGGGUUUAAAGGGUGCGUAGGCGGAACGUUAAGUCAGCGGUAAAAUUGCGGGGCUCAACCCUGUACCGCCGUUGAAACUGGCGUUCUGGAGUGGGCGAGAAGUAUGCGGAAUGCGAGGUGUAGCGGUGAAAUGCAUAGAUAUCACGCAGAACUCCGAUUGCGAAGGCAGCAUACCGGCGCCCGACUGACGCUGAGGCACGAAAGCGUGGGGAUCGAACAGG